ACGGAUCUAGAACAUAUCUGAAGAAAAUAGAGUAAUCUCAAAAGCUAGAGUUUCAGAGGAACCCAAACGGUGAGAAAGGCUUGGAUAGAUUUAAGUAGGAGGAGUCGAAGCCAGGCUCGAAACGGACAUGGCUUGCCGGAGCAAAGCCAGAGAUGACCAUAAAACUUGAAUCAAGCAAGGUCUAGAUGAAGCUUCUUCGUGGUCAGAUCAUGAAACUUCAGCAACCAAUCGUGUAUGAACCAUGAAAGGCUGGUAGGUGGUGAGACCACUAUGGAUUCAUGCCAAGAGGUGGCCGGAGAAGGUGAAGAAAACUCAUCGGAGCAGAGGGGAAGGGGGAAGGUUCUAUAGGGAACCAGAGAUAUA
rnacentral:lncRNA from 1 species